rnacentral:rRNA from 1 species
UACGUAGGGUGCGAGCGUUGUCCGGAAUUAUUGGGCGUAAAGAGCUCGUAGGCGGUUUGUCGCGUCUGCUGUGAAAACUCGGGGCUUAACCCCGGGCCUGCAGUGGGUACGGGCAGACUAGAGUGCGGUAGGGGAGACUGGAAUUCCUGGUGUAGCGGUGAAAUGCGCAGAUAUCAGGAGGAACACCGGUGGCGAAGGCGGGUCUCUGGGCCGUAACUGACGCUGAGGAGCGAAAGCGUGGGGAGCAAACAGG